UACACUGUAAAAAAAAUAUCGUAUUUUUUACAGGGAAUCGCUGGCAGCUGUGGUUACCAGAGAAUUCCUGAAAAAAAUACAGCAGCACAGUAGUUAACUUAACCAACGAAAUAUGUAAAUUGAUUUACAGUGAAAUGAAUCACGGCUGAAUCACAUUAAAAAACUGUUUAUUCUACAAAAAUGUUUUGUUAAUUUUGCAUUACAGUGUUGUAUAUAAAAAGACUAUUUCCUGUAUUUUUUUAGUAAAUUUAACAGGGAAAUAUCAUACAGGAAACAAAUUUAAACUGGUAGAACAGCAGUAAAACUUUGUAUUUUAAAUGGUGCUGUUCUGUAUAUUAUACAUAAAAUCUAUUUAUAAUAUGCUGUAUUUUUAUGUUUUAAUAAUCAAGUUAUAAUGUAAAAUGUACUUAUACACCUGUAAAAUUAUUACUAAUACUCCUACUGCAAAACAUGCAAAAUUACAUUUUGAGAAAAGACAAGAGAGGAAAAUCCCUUUUGGGAAAUUUAUUUACCAGCCAUCGGCAAUAAACAAUUGGAUGAUUUUUUUUUCCAACAUAUACAAAAUGGAAACAAGCAGGUGUCAGAUAAAAAUUACAUAGUGUACAUAUUGCAAGACUUUAAAACAGAAAUGACAUAUUUUGCCUUAAUAACAAUAAUAAAAAUUGUGGAUUUAACAAAGCGAAACCUCUUCUCACAACAAACAGAGUCCACAUUUAGGCUUAAAUCCCUCUAAAACAUGGCCUAAUGUGCCGAAAAUUAUCAGUGCUUUAUGGCACUGGAAGUGUCCCGACUAACACACUGGGACUGUGUGUGUGUGUGUGUGUGUGUGUGUGUGUGUGUGUGUGUGUGUGUGUGUGUGUGUGUGUGUGUGUGUGUGUGUGUGUGUGUGUGUGUAUUAACUUGAGAAGAUAGCUACAUAUAUUUAUGUUUCGGAAUCGUCCCCAUACAAUAUGCACCCUGCUGUAUAGGAUGUCACCACGUCCGUGCCCGUGGGACAUAGAACACAUCGGGGGAAAACCACCUGUAAGGAAACAAACCUAAACAAGCCAUCUAGAAACACAGCAGUAAGACACCGUAAAAAACAACAACCUGGAACAUAACUACAAAGCAAUAACAUAAUGAAAAAAGCAUGUGGCAGACCCUCUACCAGGAAAAGUUACACAGUGUGCCUUAAUUACCAUAAUACACAUUUAGGAUUAACAAAGCGAAAACUAAAAGUACCUCUUCUCAAACAAACAGUCAGAGUCCACAUAGAGUUCAUAUUUAGGCUUGACGCCACUCGUGAUCGGAGAGAUCCUGUAUCAGGGUGAGGACUCGAGGGUUCAGGUUGAGACGACGCUUGUUGUUCUUACUCUCUACUUUGGUUCCUUUUUCUGGGUUUAUCGAGAAGAAACACCUGUAAAAAAAAAAAGCAUACUAAAGCAUAUUAAUUGAUCAUUUAAAAAAAUAAGUACAAGAAGAACCAAGAACAAGACUCAGGCCACACCUAUAGAGCCAAGGCCGAGACAGACCCAGUUUUUUAAAGUCUGGAUUAAAAAGGAGAAUGCGUGCCGUUUUUAACCCAUAGCCCUGUUGCCGAGUGCUGUCAGUAGGAAAAAAUAUCGGGAACAUCUGGCACAAUAUUGACCGAGUAUCAGAACGGCAGCUAAAGCAAACCUAUGGGGGCAAGCAAACCAAAAGUAAAACUUAAUGGAGCUUGGCCCAAUAGGUUUGCUUUAGCUGUCGUUCUGAUACUCGGUAAAUAUUGAGCCAAAUGUUCACAUUAUUUUUCCUACUGCAGCACUUGUAGCCUCAAAUCAACAGGGCUAUUGAUUACAAACGGCCGGCAUUCUCCUUUAAGACGGGAACCUCUGAGCCAGACUCCAGGUCCCACAGUCUCAGGUCUGAGAAAUUAGUAAGCCAUGAUUACUCACCUUUGAAGGAACUCCAGAGUUGAAGCCAGCUCAGAUGGAUAAUGGAUGUUGAAAAUGUAGUAGCUCCCGAACAUGAGGCACAAUGCAGAAAUGAAGGAGGAGAUGUUUGUGUUGACAAGGUUCCGAUCCAGACUCAGCAUGUACCUUGUUGAGGAAUAGCAGGACUGUCCUAUGAACAAAUUAUUUAACAGGUUUUAUUAACAAGCACUGCACUCACAUCAGGGGAGCAUGCUUUAUGCUUCCUACACAUGUGAGAAGUAAAUGAUGACUUUUUUGUAAACAUGUGCUUACAACCACUUACUGGACAUGACACAGACCUGCCCUCUCCAAUAUGAUCAUUUAAGUGAGACACUAGCUCUUUCACUGUGUGAAAAUGGCCGGCACAUAAUGAAACUGCGCAUUUUAAAUCUGCAACAACAGCUCUAGGAGUGGCUUGCGGUUCAGGUGCAUUGUGCACGCGAUAAAAAUGCCCCUUGAAAGCUGCAUAAGUGGUAAAUGUUUGACUACAGUUGGCGCCAACACAUUUGAAAAGACAACGAGGCUCAUUCCUAUGCACUCUGCAAUGUAGUACAUAGCCUCUUAAUGUAACCAAUAUCUUUCUACAAAAGACGCAGGUGAUCAUUUUUAUAGAGUUAUCAAUCUAUUGGUCUUUAGCCUGCUACAUAUCAACUGUUGCUAGCGCCUGCUAAAUAUCAACUGGUGCUAGCUUACACCAUGUGCUUUCAGCAAAAAGUAGGAAAAGUAGCCGACGCGGCGGCGCUACUACUGGCUCGUUGGUGACGUCAGCUGAAGCCGUGAACGAGGAGCUCGUGCUUCUCCUCCCGCCCUAACGUCAUUAUCCAAUCAGAGACGAGCUGCACACUUUUAAAUUCAAAGUUAGGCGGAUUUAUCAAACUUGCUAAAAAGAAAACAGGUGCAGUUCCUCCGUAAAUGACCCAAUAUUCAUGGAUGUUUUUAUCUGGCUCACCAAUCUCACUCACCAAAUCUCAAUAUCACCAAUAUAAAACCUGCAUCAUGAAGCUCAG
ensembl:lncRNA